rnacentral:rRNA from 1 species
CUUUCUUUUGUCUGGUGACCGGCGCACGGGUGAGUAACACGUAUCCAACCUGCCCUUUACUCGGGGAUAGCCUUUCGAAAGAAAGAUUAAUACCCGAUAGCAUAAUGAUUCCGCAUGGUUUCAUUAUUAAAGGAUUCCGGUAAAGGAUGGGGAUGCGUUCCAUUAGGUUGUUGGUGAGGUAACGGCUCACCAAGCCUUCGAUGGAUAGGGGUUCUGAGAGGAAGGUCCCCCACAUUGGAACUGAGACACGGUCCAA